GAAGAAAGAGGGGGGCGUGCUUAACACAUGCAAGUCGAACGGAAAGGCCCUGCUUGCAGGGUACUCGAGUGGCGAACGGGUGAGUAACACGUGGGUGAUCUGCCCUGCACUUCGGGAUAAGCCUGGGAAACUGGGUCUAAUACCGGAUAGGAGCCAUUUUUAGUGUGAUGGUUGGAAAGUUUUUUCGGUGUAGGAUGAGCUCGCGGCCUAUCAGCUUGUUGGUGGGGUAAUGGCCUACCAAGGCGGCGACGGGUAGCCGGCCUGAGAGGGUGGACGGCCACAUUGGGACUGAGAUACGGCCCAGACUCCUACGGGAGGCAGCAGUGGGGAAUAUUGCACAAUGGGCGCAAGCCUGAUGCAGCGACGCCGCGUGGGGGAUGACGGCCUUCGGGUUGUAAACUCCUUUCGCUAGGGACGAAGCUUUUUGUGACGGUACCUAGAUAAGAAGCACCGGCUAACUACGUG
rnacentral:rRNA from 1 species